GUACAAAGGUAGCAUAAUCNUUAGUUUUUUAAUUGAGAACUUGUWUGAAUGGUUGAAUGAGAAAUAGACUUUUUUAAUAGAAAAAUUGAAUUUUACAUUUUAAUUAAAAGGUUAAAAUAUUUUUAAAAGACGAGAAGACCCUAUAGAGUUUUAUAAUUUAUAUUUAAUACAAAAAAAAAUUAAUAAAUAUUUUUAUUUAAAUAAUUAUUUUGUUGGGGCGACGAUAAAAUUUAAUAAACUUUUAUUUUUUUUUACAUUAAUAUAUGGGGGGCUGAUCCGCUAUUGGCGAUUAAAAAUUUAAAUUACCUUAGGGAUAACAGCGUAAUUUUUUUUUUAAGUUCAUAUUAAUAAAAAAUUUUGCGAC
rnacentral:rRNA from 1 species